AGAGUUUGAUCCUGGCUCAGGAUGAACGCUAGCGACAGGCUUAACACAUGCAAGUCGAGGGGCAGCAAUUUGUAGCAAUACAAAGUUGGCGACCGGCGCACGGGUGAGUAACGCGUAUGCAACCUACCCACAACAGAAGAAUAAUCCGGCGAAAGUCGGUCUAAUACUUCAUAAAACAGGGACACCGCAUGGUGUUAUUUGUUAAAGAUUUAUCGGUUGUGGAUGGGCAUGCGUACCAUUAGGUAGUUGGUGAGGUAACGGCCCACCAAGCCUACGAUGGUUAGGGGUUCUGAGAGGAAAGUCCCCCACACUGGUACUGAGACACGGACCAGACUCCUACGGGAGGCAGCAGUGAGGAAUAUUGGUCAAUGGGCGAGAGCCUGAACCAGCCAAGUCGCGUGAAGGAUGACUGUCUUAUGGAUUGUAAACUUCUUUUGUAGGGGAAUAAAGAAAGGCACGUGUGCCGUAGUGAAUGUACCCUACGAAUAAGCAUCGGCUAACUCCGUGCCAGCAGCCGCGGUAAUACGGAGGAUGCGAGCGUUAUCCGGAUUUAUUGGGUUUAAAGGGUGCGUAGGCGGCCUGUUAAGUCAGCGGUGAAAUCUAGGAGCUUAACUCCUAAAUUGCCAUUGAUACUGGCGGGCUUGAGUGUAGAUGAGGUAGGCGGAAUGCGUGGUGUAGCGGUGGAAUGCAUAGAUAUCACGCAGAACUCCGAUUGCGAAGGCAGCUUACUAAGGUACAACUGACGCUGAAGCACGAAAGCGUGGGUAUCAAACAGGAUUAGAUACCCUGGUAGUCCACGCAGUAAACGAUGAUAACUGGGCGUAUGCGAUAUACAGUAUGCUCCUAAGCGAAAGCGUUAAGUUAUCCACCUGGGGAGUACGCCGGCAACGGUGAAACUCAAAGGAAUUGACGGGGGCCCG
rnacentral:rRNA from 1 species